UACGGAGGGAGCUAGCGUUGUUCGGAAUUACUGGGCGUAAAGCGCGCGUAGGCGGCUUUGUAAGUUAGAAGGUGAAAGCCUGGAGCUCAACUCCAGAAUUGCCUUUAAGACUGCAUCGCUAGAAUCCAGGAGAGGUGAGUGGAAUUCCGAAGUGUAGAGGUGAAAUUCGUAGAUAUUUCGGAAGAACACCAGUGGCGAAGGCGGCUCACUGGACUGGUAUUGACGCUGAGGUGGCGAAAGCGUGGGGAGCAAACAGG
rnacentral:rRNA from 1 species